UCUCUUCAGUCUAAUGUUAUUAAAUGGACUCCUCCAGAGUUUUUCCGCAAGUUGGUUAGGAUGGGCGCUAAGGCGUUGCCGAUCGCGGCGAAUAAGAUCGUUGGGCACAUACCACGGCGCGUCCACAAUCGUUCGUAACCCUUUUGAUUGAAAUCGUUCUAAGAUGUCCCCCACAACUGUAUACCGUACGUCCAGACUGGUUUCAGCAUCACUUUGUAUAAUAACAGUUUAUUCUGUUUGUUAAUUGUGAGUUUCUCCCGAUAAUCCAGUACAAUCUUCUUAGUUUAA